AGUAAUAGUUAUAGUCUUGAAACUUAAAGAAUUUGGCGGUAUUUUAAUCUAAUCAGAGGAACUUGUGCUAUAAUCGAUAAUCCCCGUUAAAUUUUACUAAGUAAUUUGUAUAUCGUUGUCGGAAGAAUAAAUUUUCUAAUAUUUUUAUUUGAAUAUAAGUCAAAUCAAGGUGUAGUUUAUAAUUUAGUAGUCAUGAGUUACAAUAAAAUUAUUUAGGAUUAUUAUGAAGGUGGAUUUGUUAGUAAAUUAAUUUUAGUA
rnacentral:rRNA from 1 species